UACGUAGGGUGCGAGCGUUGUCCGGAAUUAUUGGGCGUAAAGAGCUUGUAGGCGGUCUGUCGCGUCUGCUGUGAAAAUCCGGGGCUCAACCUCGGACUUGCAGUGGGUACGGGCAGACUAGAGUGUGGUAGGGGAGACUGGAAUUCCUGGUGUAGCGGUGAAAUGCGCAGAUAUCAGGAGGAACACCGAGUGGCGAAGGCAGGUCUCUGGGC
rnacentral:rRNA from 1 species